rfam:Oryza barthii chromosome 8, whole genome shotgun sequence.
AAAAAAAACAAACCCUAGUUUUCAUGUAUAACUUUUGACCGUUCGUCUUAUAUAAACAUUUUUAUAAUUAGUAUUUUUAUUAUUGUUAGAUGAUAAAACAUGAUUAAUACUUUAUGUGUGACUUAUCUUUUUAAUUUUUUCAUAUUUUUUUCAAAUAAGACGGACGGUCAAACUUGGACACGGAAACCCAAGGUUUGUCUUUUU